UACGUAGGGGGCAAGCGUUAUCCGGAUUUACUGGGUGUAAAGGGAGCGUAGACGGUUGUAUAAGUCUGGAGUGAAAGCCCGGGGCCCAACCCCGGGACUGCUUUGGAAACUGUGUAACUUGAGUACAGUAGAGGUGGGCGGAAUUCGUGGUGUAGCGGUGAAAUGCUUAGAUAUCACGCAGAACUCCGAUUGCGAAGGCAGCAUACCGGCGCCCAACUGACGCUGAGGCACGAAAGCGUGGGGAUCGAACAGG
rnacentral:rRNA from 1 species